CACGAAUGGCGUAAUGAUGGCCAGGCUGUCUCCACCCGAGACUCAGUGAAAUUGAACUCGCUGUGAAGAUGCAGUGUACCCGCGGCAAGACGGAAAGACCCCGUGAACCUUUACUAUAGCUUGACACUGAACAUUGAGCCUUGAUGUGUAGGAUAGGUGGGAGGCUUUGAAGCGUGGACGCCAGUCUGCGUGGAGCCGACCUUGAAAUACCACCCUUUAAUGUUUGAUGUUCUAACGUGGACCCGUAAUCCGGGUUGCGGACAGUGUCUGGUGGGUAGUUUGACUGGGGCGGUCUCCUCCUAAAGAGUAACGGAGGAGCACGAAGGUUGGCUAAUCCUGGUCGGACAUCAGGAGGUUAGUGCAAUGGCAUAAGCCAGCUUGACUGCGAGCGUGACGGCGCGAGCAGGUGCGAAAGCAGGUCAUAGUGAUCCGGUGGUUCUGAAUGGAAGGGCCAUCGCUCAACGGAUAAAAGGUACUCCGGGGAUAACAGGCUGAUACCGCCCAAGAGUUCAUAUCGACGGCGGUGUUUGGCACCUCGAUGUCGGCUCAUCACAUCCUGGGGCUGAAGUAGGUCCCAAGGGUAUGGCUGUUCGCCAUUUAAAGUGGUACGCGAGCUGGGUUUAGAACGUCGUGAGACAGUUCGGUCCCUAUCUGCCGUGGGCGCUGGAGAACUGAGGGGGGCUGCUCCUAGUACGAGAGGACCGGAGUGGACGCAUCACUGGUGUUCGGGUUGUCAUGCCAAUGGCACUGCCCGGUAGCUAAAUGCGGAAGAGAUAAGUGCUGAAAGCAUCUAAGCACGAAACUUGCCCCGAGAUGAGUUCUCCCUGAGACUUUAGGUCUCCUGAAGGAACGUUGAAGACGACGACGUUGAUAGGCCGGGUGUGUAAGCGCAGCGAUGCGUUGAGCUAACCGGUACUAAUGAACCGUGAGGCUUAACCUUACAACGCCGAAG
rnacentral:rRNA from 1 species